rnacentral:lncRNA from 1 species
CCAGAAGGAUCUUCAAUGCACCAUCCAGACGCCUUAGAGGUAACAUCAAAUUUUCAAGAAUUUUGAGCUGACCCAUUUUUAUUUCAGGAACUGCAAAAAGUUUCAAAACAGAGACAAGUCAGAAACAGUUCUCCCUUAAGAUGAUAAGAGCAAAAUCAAAACAAACCUCUGAGGCACAAGGCAACCUGUUUAAAGAAGGCGUCGAAUAGACCUGCCACAGAUAAAACAAGAAUUUCUCAUUUCAACAGAAGGCUCAAGAAUGAAGAAAAGCUGGCGCUGAUAUAUACUCGGAGCCUGAGGACUUAGUACGGGGCAGAGCUACACUAGACUCUAAGCCAGUGAUGUCAGAUUCUUAAAAGAUAUUCACGGGAAAGGAAAGAAAGGAGAUGUCCAGAUAAUGAUGACAAAAAAAGCAAAGGCGGUAGAGGACAAGAAGAAUAGAAAAAAAGACAGAAAGAGAAAAGAGCAGAUAGAAUUCAGAAGCUGCGCAACGACUGAAAGAUGAAAGGAUGUUAUUAAGGCACCUGAACCCGAACAGACGCGAUCAUACUAGUUCUUGGUAUUCACCCCCUCGGCAGUUGGAGCAAUAACUGCCGAGAAGGUGAAGGGGCAAUUGAUGACCGCUGGAUUCCUUCACCCCGGGCCAGGGGCUUGACCGCAGCCCAAGGCCCAUGACGUAGAGGCCCACACACCUGAUAUACAUAACAAGCCUGGCUCAUCCAACCCUCAAUGCCGGGCUCGACCCAUCUUCUUCACUCAAACCGGCCCGGCCCACACGAAGCAGGCCCUCUCCACUCAGGCUUAGCGUCCGGCCCAACUCUCGGCCUAGCCCAGGAUCCAGAAAAAUAUUCACCAGACAGCCUGGCAGAUCCGCUUGAACGUACGCACGAGAAGAAUCAGAGGCCGUUACGCAUGGAGCAGGCGGCUGAUACCCUAGUACCUCCGAAUCCGCAUGGCAGAGACACGUGACCCAAUCCUGGACAGAGAUGGCAACGGGUAGGGUACCCGCGAAAUUGGGAGUACCCAAAUCCGAACCCGAUUAUAUAUAAAAUUCCCAAACCCGUCCCAAAUCCGUUUAGUGCUUUAAUUUUACUACUCGUACCCGUUCCAAAUCCGUUUAGCAAUACCCGCACACUAUCCGAACCCGAACGAACCCGAUUUUUAUAAUUCAAUGAUAAAAAAUUAAAAAUUUACAUAUUAUAACCCAAAUAACAAGCUCCCUAUUUUUAUAAUUCAAUUCAAUGAUAAAAAAUUAAAAAUUCACAUAUUAUAACCCAAAUAACAAAUAGUUAGAUUUUUUAACAAUAUCUAAAUAAUUAGAUUAAUAGUCUAUAGAUUCUAAAAAACUAUUUCUAUGUAUCUUUGAUGUGUUUAUGCAGUAUAAAAAAAUGAAGUUAACAUACCCGAAGAGAUUUCAGUAAAAGAAGAUGUUGCUGACGCCGAUUGGGGAGAGGCACGAGUUGUCUCCAGUCGUCAGUGAAGUGGGGGAGAGAGGAACGAGUAGAUGAGAGAGAGAAGGAGAUAUCGCUGACCGGAAGUAGGGGAGAGAGGCGUUGACUAGGAAGUGGGAGAUAUGGCCGACUGGAGAGAGAGAAGGAGAUACUGGGGAGAGAGAAGAUUUAUCGUCUCUAGGGAGAGAAAGGAGAUGUCGCCGGUGCCGACUGGGCUGCCGGCAGUGAAGUGGGGGAGAGGUGUCGAUUGGAAAUUAUGGGAAGGGAAGGGGGGAGAGAGGCAGAAGCUCGAGUAAAAUGAGAAAAUGAAUUAGGGAUAAGGGAAUUUAGGGUUAGUUUUGAAGUAUAGCUAAUCGGGUUCGGGUAACGGGUAUUCGAUCACCUAACCCCGAACCCUACCCGAAUCCGAGACGGGUAAAAUUUUUCAAAUCCGAAUCCGCCCAAAUCCGUUUUGUAAAUACCCAAAUCCGUCCUAAUAGGAUUUGGGCGGAUCGGGUACCCGCGAAAACCCACCCGCCUGCCAUCCCUAAU